rnacentral:lncRNA from 1 species
AUAGGGAUAUUAAUGGCUUACUGCUCUUACCACAGUGUUGUGAAGUGUGCACUGACAGAAGUGGGCUUGCAUGUGAGCUUCUUUCCCAACACACUGUGCAGAAGCUAAACUUCACUCCUGGUUUAGGAUGACAUUAAGAAUAUGCUUUUUUGAUUUUGCCUCCCAGCUCCAGCUCAUUGGUAAUGCUGGAAAUAUGCUUCAAGUUUGCUUUGAUUUUCAGCGUACUUUUUUUGCUGUUACUCAGCAAUGGCACACAAAGGGGGCAUAACGCUUUUUACCUUUAAGCACCAAGACAUAGCCAACCCUUCUGGAAAUUGGAUUUUUAACUGCCACGUUUCUUAUGGUUUACCAAAAAAAGCAUAACGUAGUUUGAUAAAGAAGAAAGAUGACUACAAUAAAACUCAAAGAUCAUUUUCAAGCUUAUAGAAUCAAAUACAGAAAUAUUAUUUUAAAAGCUCUCAGGAAACAAAUAUGACUCUCUCUUUAAAAAACACCUCCAAAUGAACCAAUAUCUAUUCUUUGAUGAACUAUCAGCAUCUGAGAUCUAAAUCUAGAAGUUUGUUUAGGGGAUUUUAGGAAACUACUAAGGAAUCUACAUCAGAUGGAAGAAAAAUAAAUCCCUCAAACUCCAGCAAAAACUUCAAACACAGCCAUUACGCAGUCCUGACUAUAAAGAAUCACAUGCCAUGGGUAUGGAUCACAUGAGGGUAGUAAAUAAUACCCUGACAGCAUGCGGAUAAAGUAUUUCCAUAACAACAAGUCAAAAGUUGAGAUUCAAGUUUCAAAAAUUGAAAGACUGGUAGUGGGGAUGAAUGCAGUUAGGCAUUAAAUCUGUGAUAUUACCAGGUGUUCUCACCUACAUCUAUCCAUCCUUGGGACUCUCUGGCUGCUUCUCAGCUAAAAAUACAGCCUUCACAUAUGCGAAGGGCCAAACAUGCCAUUAUGCAGAUAACUGCUGUGUGCUUUGAGGUGCAACUCAGUCUCAAGAUCACACCAUCUUUUACUCCAUUCUGUAUUCAGCUAAGACACACUUCCUCCUAGCCCAACUCAGGUACAACUAAGGCCUCCAUGUUUUUCUUUCAAAGCAAAAAGAUUGUAUUACAAAGAUUAAGAUGCAACUGGACCCAACCUGGAUGGCUCUGUCUUGCCUAACUGCUACAAAACAGUCAUUGCCUGUGUGUCUGCAUAUGCGCAUUGCGGCUUGCAGUCUACAGCAUGCAGCACUUAUCUCUAGGGCCUGAUUGUGUUGAUAGAUCUGAAUUGUUUAUGGCACAUUCCCAGAAGGUGCCUGCUGCUUGAAAGCUUAUUUUAAUGCUCAGUUUCUUUCUAUACAAUCCACUCCAACUGUGUUGUCAGGGCAGCGGCAAGAGCGGCCUUCUGGCGUAGCCAAGCAGAGGUGAGUACAACCACCAUUAUUCACUGUACAGUAGUUAUGUCCUCCUGGGCACUGAGCAAAAGCUGUAGUGAUUCCAUAGAGACGGGAGCGCUUGUGAGGUUGGAAGUUAUCAUUUUCUACUGAAAUCAUGCGAUCCACAGCUACAACAGCAUCCCUUCUCCAGUCUGUGUAGUACAAAUUCUUCCCAUAGCUUGUAACACCAAAAGGAUACUGAAUUCCUUCAACAAUCUUUCGUCGACCAAGCUGAUUAGGGUUCAUGCAUUCCAGUCUCUUGGUACCUGCAUCUACCCAACACAACAUUGAGGAGUAAGGAUCAAAUGUCAGCCCAUUUGGUAAUCCCAGAUCAUCCUUCACAAGAAUUCUUCUGUUUGUGCCAUCCAUGUAUGAAGUUUCAAUUUUAGGAGCUUCUCUGUUCCAGUCAGUCCAGUACAAGUUUCCUCUCACAGGAUCCACAACAAUUGCACGGGGGUUCACCAGGCCAGUGUCAAAAAGGAUGCGACGCUGGCGCCCAUCCAGUCUAGCCACUUCUAUUCUAUCAAGUUGAGAGUCAGUCCAGAAGAUGUUGCGACCUAGAUGAUCUAGAGCUAUCCCUUCAGGGCUUCCCAGGUCUGUUCUGAUGAUGGUCGUUGGCUCCCCACCAUGCAGGCUAGCUCUACUGAUGGACGGACCGCUGAUGUCUGUCCAGUAAACCAUCUUGUCCAUGCAGUCAUAAGCAACUCCAAUAAUAACUUUGUCUGGAAUAUGCAAGAGUGCUUUUGCACCAUUUUUCUUCAUGUUGUUUCCCUCCAGUGGAACAUGUUCAAUUUUCCCACUUUGGGCAAAAAGCAAAUGUGUUCCUGGAGGCAGUGGUAUUGUGUCUGGUCGAACAGAGGGCCCAAUACCAACAGGAGGAGCAGCUGUGCUCAGACAUGGUGGUCGAACUCCAGGGCCACUUCUGGUGCCGUCAAUCUCAUUUCCAUCUCUAUCCACACACCAACAAUAUCCAGUGCUGCCGUGGCACUGAGUGGGUACGUAAUUUCCAUGUUCAUCACACUGGGGAAUGAACUGACCAACUCUUAUUUCUCUUUGGAAGAAAGUGCCUCCACUUCCAAGAGCUACUUCUUUCUCGUGCUGGCAUUUGGUCUUUACCACUCCUCCUAACACACACUGGAAACCAUCCCCACGAUAACCUGCCUUACACUGGCAGCUGAAGGAUCCGGGUGUGUUGUAGCAGAAAGCAUCUGGAUGACAGUGGCCCUGCUGACAUUCAUCUAUAUCCUCACAGGCACGCCCAUCUCCAGAGAAGCCAGGGAGGCAUGUGCAGAUGUAGGCAGACCCACCCGUGUACACGCACUGAGCCACGCUGAGGGAUGUCGCAGCCAUGUGUGCCUGUCUGGCAGUGGUUUAUGGCAUAUUCAACAGCAACACAAGUCCGCCCGUCUGCUGCAAACUGGUAUCCGUCAACACACUCGCAUCGGUACGUUCCCGGCUGGUUAUUGCAAACUGCAUUGCUGCCACAUAGACCCGGUUGCUCUGAACACUCAUCAAUAUCAUAACAAACGUUUCCAUCUCCACGGAAUCCAAUCGAACAUUCACAAGAGAAACGAUUCCCAGUUCCUGCACGACAUACUGCAUUGGUGUCACAGUUAUGGGUACCAGUGUAGCAAGGAUUCCGGCUAAUAUCAGCAGAACCAUCUGAAAAGAAAUACCGUAUUUAGCCAUGACAACU